GGGCGAUUAGCUCAGUUGGUUAGAGCGCUACCUUUACACGGUAGAUGUCGGGGGUUCGAGUCCCUCAUCGCCCA
rnacentral:tRNA from 1 species